UACGUAGGUGGCAAGCGUUGUCCGGAUUUACUGGGCGUAAAGAGCGCGCAGGCGGUCGUUCAAGUCGCGUGUGAAAGCCCCCGGCUCAACUGGGGAGGGUCACGCGAUACUGAUCGACUCGAAGGCAGGAGAGGGAAGUGGAAUUCCCGGUGUAGUGGUGAAAUGCGUAGAUAUCGGGAGGAACACCAGUGGCGAAGGCGACUUCCUGGGACAAUACUGACGCUGAGGUGCGAAAGCGUGGGGAGCAAACAGG
rnacentral:rRNA from 1 species